GUGUAGCGGUGGAAUGCGCAGAUAUCAGGAGGAACACCGAUGGCGAAGGCAGAUCUCUGGGCCGUAACUGACGCUGAGGAGCGAAAGCAUGGGGAGCGAACAGGAUUAGAUACCCUGGUAGUCCAUGCCGUAAACGUUGGGAACUAGUUGUGGGGGCCAUUCCACGGUCUCCGUGACGCAGCUAACGCAUUAAGUUCCCCGCCUGGGGAGUACGGCCGCAAGGCUAAAACUCAAAGGAAUUGACGGGGGCCCGCACAAGCGGCGGAGCAUGCGGAUUAAUUCGAUGCAACGCGAAGAACCUUACCAAGGCUUGACAUAUACGAGAACGGGCCAGAAAUGGUCAACUCUUUGGACACUCGUAAACAGGUGGUGCAUGGUUGUCGUCAGCUCGUGUCGUGAGAUGUUGGGUUAAGUCCCGCAACGAGCGCAACCCUCGUCCUAUGUUGCCAGCACGUAAUGGUGGGAACUCAUGGGAUACUGCCGGGGUCAACUCGGAGGAAGGUGGGGAUGACGUCAAAUCAUCAUGCCCCUUAUGUCUUGGGCUUCACGCAUGCUACAAUGGCCGGUACAAAGGGCUGCAAUACCGUAAGGUGGAGCGAAUCCCAAAAAGCCGGUCUCAGUUCGGAUUGAGGUCUGCAACUCGACCUCAUGAAGUCGGAGUCGCUAGUAAUCGCAGAUCAGCAACGCUGCGGUGAAUACGUUCCCGGGCCUUGUACACACCGCCCGUCAAGUCAUGAAAGUCGGUAACACCCGAAGCCAGUGGCCUAACCCGUAAGGGGAGGAGCUGUCGAAGGUGGGAUUGGUGAUUAGGACUAAGUCGUAACAAGGUACCAAUCCCGCG
rnacentral:rRNA from 1 species